rnacentral:rRNA from 1 species
CACGUAGGGUGCGAGCGUUGUCCGGAAUUACUGGGCGUAAAGCGUGCGCAGGCGGUUCGUUGUGUCGGUGGUGAAAUCCCCGGGCUUAACCUGGGAAUGGCCAUGGAAAUUGGCGAACUGGAGUGCGGCAGAGGGGGGUGGAAUUCCGCGUGUAGCAGUGAAAUGCGUAGAGAUGCGGAGGAACACCGAUGGCGAAGGCAGCCCCCUGGGCUAGCACUGACGCUCAGGCACGAAAGCGUGGGGAGCAAACAGG